CUCUGGGGGGCCCUGAGGUGACCAGCUGCUGGGCCCCCAGGAGAAGAGGCUGGCCCAGUGGGUACAUACCGGGGGCGCAGGGCCCCCUGCGACCCGGUAUGUACCCUCUGAAUGUGGGGCCCGGACGACCUUAGCAGUCCGGGCCCCCCAGGACCGCCGGGCCCAUGACAACCGUUACGAUUGUCAUGCCCUGAUGGCGGCCCUGCCUGUGAUAAUUAUAUUAACCGUUGUGUUCAGUAAUCAUAUCACAGGCAGAGGGGAGGAUUUUGUGUGGGAGUGUCUGUGUGUAUUGUACGGAUUGAUUGGUUGUAUUUCAAAACCCUGUGGGCAGUACUAUGUUUGUGGAUUGUGAAUAAGAGGCUGUAUGUGCCAGUCCAGGCAGUUCUGCUUGACCUCAAAACGAAGUGUCGUCUCGUUAUUGGAUUGUAUGCUGAUUGCCAGGAGUGUAAGCGGAUUGUAUGCUUUUCCUGUUCAGCUGCUUACAGCAUUCAUAUGCUUGAGAGCAUUUGUAUGCUUCUCCGGUUCGGUGGAUGUGGCGUCUGCUGCAGUGCUUGGAGUCCUCAGGAAGCGCUAGGAGCAUCCUUCAACAGAGCUACCCAGUCAGGGUGCCAGGUGAUCCGUUACAAGAUAAAAACAUGCAUUUAGGCCUGUGUGUGAAUGCAGGUGUAUAUUUUUGCAGAGUUAUGUGCACACAGUCCCACAGGCGAUUGCACACAGUUAUACAUAUACACUGUCAAAUCCACCACAAGCACAUCGUCGCAGGCAGAUAGUCACAUACACAGGAUCAGGCAGAAACACACAGGUACAGGCAGUAACACACAUACAGGUACAGGCAGUAACACACAUACAGUUACAGGUAGAUAAACACACACACACAAUUACAGGCAAUUACAGUUUUACACACAUACUUGCAUACAGUCACACACAGCCAUACACACACAGGAAGACAUACACAGGCAGGCACGCGCGCACACACAGGCAGUCAUCCACACACACAGUCAUACACAAAGGCAGACAGUCACACUGACAAUCACACAUAGUUACCUAUGUUCAUUGUGGAGGCAGUGCAGCUCCUGGAGACUGUUUGUUGGGGAAACGGACUCCUUCCUGCUUCCCCUGCAGCAGUUAUCCAGCACUUUUAGCUCCACCCCGCCGCACGGGUAGCUCCGCCCCGUUGCAAUUUACCAUUUCCAUGGCGCCCUGUGCGCUCGCACACCCCUACAGCCGGCCCUGGUUACACUCACAAAAGUGUAUGGAUUGUAGACGUAUCAAUUCAUUUAGAGAUGGUAUAAGGUCCACAACACGGAAAAUGGGCAUGUAGGAGAGCAUGAAAAAUACACAAUAAGUGUAGACCAAUCUUGUCAAACUCGCAGCCCACAAUGGACAUCUUUGCAGCCUGGCGAGCCGUGAGUACAUGCUUCGUGUUAAAGCAGAGUAGGCACCUGUUUUCUCCACAUUGCAGUAUACCCCAAAUGGCUCCACUCUGCUAACAUUUACCCAGCCGGAAGAAGAGGUCGCUGGAGGAGCUAGUCUUCCUGCUCCCUCACGUGCGCAGUCUGUAGUAAUACUGGGUGUCAGAUUAUGAUGUCAUAUUCCCACACCACUAAACUGUGCGCGUGAGGGAGCAGUGGGAAGGAGAUCUCCAGAUAGAAGACCCCAGGGAUAAAUACAAUGAUGUGAGUGUGUGCGAGAGAGAGAGAGAAUGAGAGAGAAAGAUGCGAUGGCCACAGUUGGACAGUGGAGGACCUGGAGGCGCACGGAGGCACGCAACGCCACAUCCUAUUCCAAUGUGACGUUGAUGUGCUCCACCUUGACAGGGUUUCAAGAAGUAGCGGGAGGAUCCGCUUUGGCACUCGGUGCGGACGGCACCAUUUGGGGUAUACCAGAAGCCUGAAUCCAUAAUCGCAUACUGGCAGCGGCCAUGUGAGUGGAGUCUGCUUGUUGGCUUGUAUUUUU